UCUAAGGCUCACUCGUUUCUUUCCAAAAUGCAACCAGAGAAGACAAUAUGUCUGUUCUGAUAGUAUUUGCCAUUUGCAUCAACCCCUUCUGUUUGGUACAUUUUCCUAGAAAGCGUGUGAUCUAGGUUCAAGUUUACAAUCUGACCUUACUUAUUUUGUGAGAUUACUGUCAUAUCCAGCUACAGGCAAGUUCUACAAAGCUCUAUAUCUUCUGCAAUUUGUGUGUGUGCUUUACCUCCCUGGAGCACUCACAGUGCCUGGUUUCUCAAGGGGAGUGGCAGUACCUGGCUGUGUUUCUAGAUCCCACUGGGGCCCAGGUCUACAUGAAACAAGUCACAGCCAGAAGCAGAGCAGGAGGUGCUUUGGAGCUUGCAGGUCCAGCAUGCACCAAUCAAUUUCAUAAGGUGCCUGCAAAGGUACUUGCAUGGACUUACUUCUACAUGGGAGUAGAAUCAGAAGACAACCAUGCUUUGCCAUGCUAUCUGAAGAAAUUACCACCAACUCUGCCCUGCUCCUCUCUGCCACCUUUUCACUGGAUAAUGCUGCUCAUUUAGAUCUGGUGUCCUUUUUACUGCAGGAGAGGGAUGGAAGCUUUCCCACACCUGAGUGAUCUGAGUCCUACAAGGAAAACCAUCCACAGAAGGUGGCUCUUCUCUGACUUAAUCCUCACUGACUGCCUGGGGCCACUCCAGGAGGCUGCUCAGAGCUCUCCGGUCAGGCCCCUGCUGCGAGAUGUUCCUGGAAGAAACCUUUCCCUUAGUUACAGAAGGAGGCUCAGGAAAUUAGAACCUCACAGCUAAACAUAGACUUCAUCAACAAUCUUCCUAAUUUCUUAGAGUUUUUUCCUGGUUACUCGUUGUGUCUUACUGUCAGUAUGUUCAAACACACUCACACAUCUCCCUGCACUUCCAGAGAUGCAGAUAUGUCUCACGAGCUGCAAUGUAUUGCACAUGUAGAAAAAUAAGCACUCUUUCCUUCAGAGACUUGUUGUAGACAAGCACCUAAUUCAGCAUAUUAUAUAAAGGGACACCACAACAGACUACAAACAUCCUUUCGAUUUCCAUCUGAACUGUUUCUAACACAGCACUUGUUUGCCUUCUAUUCCUUCCUAACAGACUCCAAUUGCAGAGCAGAUGGGAAUUGGAAGGUCUGUAACUUAAGUCCCAGUCACACCUUGCUCAGGAAAAGAAAUAAGUGUGCCACAGUUACUGAAUGACUUCUUAUUCCUGUAAUCCUUGAACUUUAAUGAACUAGAGAGAGGAGUGUGGAAAGAAAAGAGUCAGGAAAAUAAGGUCAUCUACCCAACUGAUCAUAUGCACUCUUUUGCUUUCUUCCAAUUUUUAUUUUGGUAUUUGAAGGAAAUGUUUCCAUCAGUACAAAAUGGGAAUAAGCUGUUUGAACAAUGACUAAUCAGAAAUGCAGUGUAAUGCAUCUGAAACACAAAUAAAGAAAUUUGAUUCUCCC
rnacentral:lncRNA from 1 species